rnacentral:rRNA from 1 species
UAGCUACCAUGCAGUCGAACGGCAGCACAGAGGAGCUUGCUCCUUGGGUGGCGAGUGGCGGACGGGUGAGGAAUACAUCGGAAUCUACUUUUUCGUGGGGGAUAACGUAGGGAAACUUACGCUAAUACCGCAUACGACCUACGGGUGAAAGCAGGGGACCUUCGGGCCUUGCGCGAUUGAAUGAGCCGAUGUCGGAUUAGCUAGUUGGCGGGGUAAAGGCCCACCAAGGCGACGAUCCGUAGCUGGUCUGAGAGGAUGAUCAGCCACACUGGAACUGAGACACGGUCCAGACUCCUACGGGAGGCAGCAGUGGGGAAUAUUGGACAAUGGGCGCAAGCCUGAUCCAGCCAUACCGCGUGGGUGAAGAAGGCCUUCGGGUUGUAAAGCCCUUUUGUUGGGAAAGAAAUCCAGCCGGCUAAUACCUGGUUGGGAUGACGGUACCCAAAGAAUAAGCACCGGCUAACUUCGUGCCAGCAGCCGCGGUAAUACGAAGGGUGCAAGCGUUACUCGGAAUUACUGGGCGUAAAGCGUGCGUAGGUGGUUGUUUAAGUCUGUUGUGAAAGCCCUGGGCUCAACCUGGGAACUGCAGUGGAAACUGG